rnacentral:rRNA from 1 species
UAGGGAAUCUUCGGCAAUGGGGGGAACCCUGACCGAGCAACGCCGCGUGAGUGAAGAAGGUUUUCGGAUCGUAAAGCUCUGUUGUUAAGGAAGAACGAGUGUGAGAAUGGAAAGUUCAUGCUGUGACGGUACUUAACCAGAAAGGGACGGCUAACUACGUGCCAGCAGCCGCGGUAAUACGUAGGUCCCGAGCGUUGUCCGGAUUUAUUGGGCGUAAAGCGAGCGCAGGCGGUUAGAAAAGUCUGAAGUGAAAGGCAGUGGCUCAACCAUUGUAGGCUUUGGAAACUGUUUAACUUGAGUGCAGAAGGGGAGAGUGGAAUUCCAUGUGUAGCGGUGAAAUGCGUAGAUAUAUGGAGGAACACCGGUGGCGAAAGCGGCUCUCUGGUCUGUAACUGACGCUGAGGCUCAAAAGCGUGGGGAGCGAACAGG